AGUGAACGCUGGCGGUAGGCCUAACACAUGCAAGUCGAACGGCAGCACAGUAAGAGCUUGCUCUUACGGGUGGCGAGUGGCGGACGGGGGAGGAAUACAUCGGAAUCUACUUUUUCGUGGGGGGUAACGUAGGGAAACUUAUGCUAAUACCGCAUACGACCUACGGGUGAAAGCAGGGGAUCUUCGGACCUUGCGCGAUUGAAUGAGCCGAUGUCGGAUUAGCUAGUUGGCGGGGUAAAGGCCCACCAAGGCGACGAUCCGUAGCUGGUCUGAGAGGAUGAUCAGCCACACUGGAACUGAGACACGGUCCAGACUCCUACGGGAGGCAGCAGUGGGGAAUAUUGGACAAUGGGCGCAAGCCUGAUCCAGCCAUACCGCGUGGGUGAAGAAGGCCUUCGGGUUGUAAAGCCCUUUUGCUGGGAAAGAAAAGCAGCAGGUUAAUACCCCGCUGUUCUGACGGUACCCAAAGAAUAAGCACCGGCUAACUUCGUG
rnacentral:rRNA from 1 species